GUGACUAAACGACUACAUGUUUACUUCCUUCAUACAUGAGAAUGACAUGUCUAGUUUUGCUAUAAUAUCCGACCAGCUACGGGGUGUUCAAUUUAUAUAUAGUAAAAUGGAGUGUAUAUACAUAUAAUAACGUCGAUUUCAUUACCCUCCGACAUUCGCGUUUCGCGACCGCUAUGCGAAGAAAAACAUAUUUCCUCAAAUCGUUACGUCACUCGCUCGGAUCAUGGAUCUUAUGUCGUAUAGCUAUACAUAUAUUAUCAUAAAACACGUUAUAUGGCCGGCAUAAUAUUACACAUCAUAUACAUAGUACGUACCAUAGUACUACGCUACAUCGAUUCAAAAAUUAUACAGCUGUUUAAUUCGUUCGAGUCUGUUAAUCAAAGUAGAAUAUCUAUAUGGGCGUAUAUAUAAAUAUUCAUAAAAGUUAGCUGUCCUUGCGUCGUCAUAAAGGAACUCGAGGGUUUAUAAAACUAUCUGCUGCAUAAUCUGAAGUAUAUACAUGUGCAUUGUACAUACCUAUGUGUAUCUAUAAUAUGACGCGGUACAAUUCAAUCUACAGAUAAUUAUCAAUACAAAAAUAUAUUCUGCAUUGGAUUUAUAACGUGAGAUUUUCAAGAGCUCAAAUUCAAACUUCCUGCAAGAGUUCUUAACGAAUUUAAUUCUUUGACAUUUAAUUUCGAAAGCGGAAAAAAAAAAACAGGAACAGAACAUAAAGUAAAAAUGGUCGUUUAAAUAGAAGAGUUCUGAAGUCACCUUUAUAAUUGAUUCUGAUCAUGCCACGUGCGGUUGUGGGAAACAAAAAAAAAUAAAAACAAUCAAAAAAAAACUAGUCGUAUAUGCAAAUAUAAGAACUGGAUCGGAAAUAUAUGCGCGGAUUAGCCUGAUAUAAAUUAAAAUACGCCCCCCGCGAUGCAUAUAACAAUGGAUAUAUACGAGUUCUUCGAAUAUAUGUGACACAUAUGCGAGUGAUCGUAGGUGUAUAUAUAGCUGGUUUUAGCCCACAUUCGACAUGACGAAUCGCAAACGAUAUAUUUGCCCUCUCUUCGCGAACAUUUCCUUACGACGUUAUAUUUGUCGCGUCCCAUAGAAUUGAUCGGGAAAUAAAGUUGAAACGUGUGUAGAUCGUGUAACAAUGACAAAUUACAGGAUCAUAAAAUUUGGAUCACGAUACGACCCGCAUACUCAAAUUGCGUGUACAGCCGCAUAAAAAUUAUCUGGCUCUAUAAAGUAUCGUUCGCUCUCAAAACAAAGGGGCGGGGGGAAAAAAGAAUCGCGGUCAGUUGAAGAGUAUAAAGAUUUGAAAUUAAAAAAUGGCCGCGUCUCGCCUCGAAGGUCUAACAAAUGUUUUUUUAUUUCGAUCCCAUCGGCUCGUAGCAUUCUUGGCGCGAAAUUUGUCCGCGACCAUCCCGUCGUCCUCGUCGUCGCGACGCUGUGCAGCUCGCAGUGCUACGCUCGGGAGUGCAAAAAUUUUACAAGGACGGACUUGCGCACCUUCGUCUCUGGGUUGCGAGGUAUAUCCUAUACUCCUGCCGAAGGAUCGUCGGCACGCAAACACAUAGGUGUAGGGCAAAUAUACGUAUACGUACAUACGUGGAACGUACACAUCGACGAGGAGUUUCUCUCGUGCGCUGCAAGUUUACCGGACGAAUCUCCCUCGCUUACCCUUGAACCCACCAGACACUCGAUCCCGCAUCUCAAGAACAGCUAUAUGUAUACAUAUACGUGCACGUAUACCUGUAUAUUAUGUAUCCUACACGUGUAUACGGAUACGCGGGCAAUUUCGCCGCAAAAAUUUUUAUACUGCGCGGCGAGCACGGUGACGGUGACGUCAGUAAGCGAGGAUCGCAGACGCUUACAGCCGCUGGACCAUGGCUUACGUAAAAAUCGCAUAAUUUUAUACCGAACUGGAUAUCCACUUCUUUGUCGAAAGCGGCACAGCGAGCGGUGACGGUAUCAAUGAAUCCGUAGGUAAAACUGAUUGAUUCGUGCUGCGGGAUGAACGCGAAUGUUAAGAUAAUCACAAAGAAAACGUAGACGCGGCUGUAUACCAGAAACCUAUAUUGGGAGUAUUAACAUACUGGAAUAUCAGCACGGUUAUCUGAGAGGGCGUUGAACAAUUUUUAACCGCAAAGACCGGUUCACCUCUUCGUACCGCGGUGCACGAAUUUCGCUAUAUAGUGACGUCUCGGACACCAUGCUCGUACAGUUUCUCAUGGCGUUUUAUAUGGACGUAAAAACGGAAGAGAUGAAGCACGAUUCAUAUAGCGGACGUCAGAACAGGAGAGGGUACGUAAGAGGGGUCCCUGAGCAACGGACGAGAAGUAAGAUCUGCACGUGUGCUUUUUUAAUCGAGCACUAAAAACAAGGUAAUAAUUAACGUUGGGCCAUAAAACACGGUAGGUAAGGUAUAUCGAUUCGAUUUUGGAGUUAAUGUAUCAUUUGUUAUUGGAGGCGUGGCGCGCAUGACCAAAAAAUAUUUUUACUAUAAUACGUGCGUGGAAUUGAUGAUAGCGAGCAAUCAAGGAUCGUCCAUUGUUCUCACUAACCUACAGCACUGUUAUUAGCAUUUUUUAGUCGUGACUGAGAUUCGGAAACAAGGCUCCUCUUUAAAUAGAUAACGAAUCGUGUACCGACGCUAAAUAAUUCUCAUCGUGCACUUUUCGUUAAUCGGUUUCUUCAUUCAAUUCUUACGCGAAAUUCGUCGCCAUUCCGCACUACCCAGCGAUUGUGAAUUUUAAAGACAAAAAUUGAAUAAUUGUUCUACCAGAACGUCCUUUCCGUGUACAAUUUUAUACUCCAUGAGAAUUUUUCUCAAUAUUGUAAAAACGUAUUCUUCUAUUUAUAUACAUACUCAAGCGUGCGAUGAACGAACAAUAUCGUCAACGUCAAUAAAAUCAGACUAGAAAGUAGAACAGUUCUUCGAAGCUCUCGAAGAGUCGGUCGAAAACCUGAGGGAAUUUUUUGUCGACUCUUCGAAAUAAAGUGGGCAAAAAUAUGUAUUAUUCCGUUAAGGAACCACGUGUAUUAUACGCUACGCAUAGUACGUUCUACGUAUGGAUCAUAACUUCAUGUUUAAAAUCUAUAGGCGGGUAUACGUGUGUAUAUUUCAUCCAAGAUAUGGUAUACGUCAGAACCGGUUAUUGAGACUUUCGAAAAUUCCAAGAUGACGUACGUAUGUGCACGAGGCAUGGAACUGCGGACACUGAACAGAGUUGUGCCAAGAUAACUUCGCGGAAACCCGUCUGGAUCUUGCGAUCACUAACAAUGCUGGGCUUCGUACUCUUACUCAUUUUAUAGGGCUCACCUGUCUCUCGCACGCUAUCGUUCAAUUAAUCGCUCUCAAUACUUAUGACGUCGGUGCGUAUGAAUUAAAUUUACAAUUGAAUCGAGUAUAAUUAACAGACAUUCACACUAACUAUAUACACCUAUCCACGACAAGAUCAUGCUCAAUCACGGAAAAAUGAAAUCAGAGAAAAUUCCGUUGUUAUCCAAGAAUGUCAAUGGCGAUAGAGAAUUCUAAUUAUUCGGUUAAAAAAAUUGAACAGCAGUAGGACAAUACUCUGAUUGUUUACGUAAGAGAUAAUUAAUAAUUAUUAUCGCAAUUGCGGAGGAUUGCCAAAGUAAUAUGUUUGCUGUGGUUCAUAGAAGUUAAUGAGGAUGAAAUGAAAGGUAACUGAUGUGACUCACUUACCUUGAAAAUUUUUUAAAUACUUUUCAAUGAAAAAGUUUUCAUUCAGUCGGAUAUCGUAAAAACGUAGAUCACAUCACGCGACACUAUAUUGACGGCAACACCAGAUGAACACGAUUAGUAGGUGGAGAUUUUUUGACGUAAUAUUGUAAACACGAAUCGUCGGACUUGACACUUUCAACGUGGAUUUAAAUCGUAUCCUAAACUACACUGACUCGAUUACUUUGAAGAAGGUAGAAUCCGGUUUCGCGAAUUCGGUUAUUGCAAUGGUGCUAUAUACAUAUUAUACAACACUCAGCCCGCGGUUUUGACGUUUAUUUCGGACUUGAAGGAAGAGAAAAAAAAAUCUAAAUAAUAACAAUAAUAAUGAGAAAAUACCGACAGCUGUUCUCUGAACUGGUUCCACACGAAUACCGUGCAGGAACUGGGUAACGAUUAAUGUACGAAUAUAUAAAUUCUCUCAAAAGGUU